CCUACGGGAGGCAGCAGUGAGGAAUCUUCCACAAUGGGCGAAAGCCUGAUGGAGCGACGCCGCGUGCAGGGUGAAGGCCUUCGGGUUGUAAACUGCUUUUAUAAGUGAAGAAUAUGACGGUAACUUAUGAAUAAGCACCGGCUAACUACGUGCCAGCAGCCGCGGUAAU
rnacentral:rRNA from 1 species